rnacentral:rRNA from 1 species
CAGCAGCCGCGGUAAUACGUAGGGUGCAAGCGUUAAUCGGAAUUACUGGGCGUAAAGCGUGCGCAGGCGGUUCUAUAAGACAGAUGUGAAAUCCCCGGGCUCAACCUGGGAACUGCAUUUGUGACUGUAGAGCUGGAGUACGGCAGAGGGGGAUGGAAUUCCGCGUGUAGCAGUGAAAUGCGUAGAUAUGCGGAGGAACGCCGAUGGCGAAGGCAAUCCCCUGGGCCUGUACUGACGCUCAUGCACGAAAACGUGGGGAGCAAACAGGAUUAGAUACCCCGGUAGUCCCUGUCUCUUAUAC